GUUUAUUCCUGAACAUAUGCUAAAAUUGGAAGAACUCAGAGAAUUUUAGCAUGUCCCCUGCUCAAGGAUAACAUGCAAUUUCGUGAAUCGCUCUAAAAAAAU
rnacentral:snRNA from 1 species